AGAAUGUCAAUAUUGUUGUGGAAGAAGAAAAAGCAGUGUCUUACUAAAGAAUAUCGAUUUUUUUAAAAAACUAGGAAAAAGAACAUGAUGAAAACUAGACACUGACAGGAUUGUAUGAGUCUUUAUAAACCUCAUAAGAAGCACAGUUCCAGGAAAGUGAGUCAGAAGUGUCAGUCCAAUGCAGCUCUCUGAGGAGAACAAAGGAAAAAAGGAAAGGUUAGAAAAAAAAAGCCUCCUGUCAAGAUAUCUGGAUACGCAUAUUGUUUUGACUAUUGGAUGGUAAAAAAAAAGAGAAGAAAGGAAGAAGGAAGCAAAAAAUUUAAGGUGAUGGAAAUUAGAGUCCUGCUUAAAAAAUACAGAUGUUCUGGAAUAUCAAGCAACAAUUUCAAGCUUUCACACUUCUGGAUUGAAACACAGUUUAAAGAGGGAAUAAAAACCUGAAGAAAGAGCCACAGGACUGGACUGGGCUAAGGCAUGUUAAUAGCCAUGUUCUAGAGAAGCGAUCUAUAAACUCCUCUGCUGAGGUCCCCACACCUGUCCUUGUUCUCUUUCUUCCUGAGGCUGAGUGUCUUUCCUGCUGUUCUGUGAUGCUUUUGCAACACUACUGAAUAAAUCUCUCUCCAGGAAUUGUUUUCUUUUUCAUGAAACACCUCUCUCCUCCCUUAUCUCACCACAAAAAAGUAAAAAAUAAAAAGAAUAUUUAAUGUUCAGAAUCCACAAGUUA
rnacentral:lncRNA from 1 species